CCUACGGGAGGCUGCAGUGAGGAAUAUUGGUCAAUGGGCGCGAGCCUGAACCAGCCAAGCCGCGUGAGGGAAGAAGGCGCCAGGCGUCGUAAACUUCUUUUGUCGGGGAACAAAGGGCGCGACGCGUGACCUUGUGAGUGUACCCGAAGAACAAGCAUCGGCAAACCCCGUGCCAGCCGCCGCGGUAAUACGGAGGAUGCGAGCGUUAUCCGGAUUUAUUGGGUUUAACGGGUGCGUAGGCGGUCCGGACGGUCAGCGGUAAAAGCCCGGGGCUCAACCCCGGCGAGCCGUUGAAACUGGCGGGCUAGAGACGGCGAGAAGGACGCGGAAUGCGCGGUGUAGCGGUGAAAUGCAUAGAGAUCGCGCAGAACUCCGAUGGCGAAGGCAGCGUACCGGCGCCAGACUGACGCUGAGGCACGAAAGCGUGGGUAGCGAACAGGAUUAGAUACCCGGGUAGUC
rnacentral:rRNA from 1 species